ensembl:ncRNA B0393.15 ncRNA
ACUCAUUUGCUCGUAAAUCGUGGUAUUUUGCGAAAGUGUGGAAAACUCUGCAGACACCAAAACAAUGCACCACGAUUUACGCGAAAAUUUGAUAUGUGGGCACCAGAGAUCUUUUUCUAUGCUUAUAUAUAAAUAUAUAUAAAUAUAUCA